AGAGUUUGAUCAUGGCUCAGGAUGAACGCUAGCUACAGGCUUAACACAUGCAAGUCGAGGGGAAGCGAUAUUGGAAGCUUGCUUCCGAUAGGCGUCGACCGGCGCACGGGUGAGUAACGCGUAUCCAACCUGCCCACCACUUGGGGAUAACCUUGCGAAAGUAAGACUAAUACCCAAUGAUAUCUCUAGAAGACAUCUGAAAGAGAUUAAAGAUUUAUCGGUGAUGGGUGGGGAUGCGUCUGAUUAGCUUGUUGGCGGGGUAACGGCCACCAAGGCGACGAUCAGUAGGGGUUCUGAGAGGAAGGUCCCCCACAUUGGAACUGAGACACGGUCCCAAACUCCUACGGGAGGCA
rnacentral:rRNA from 1 species